UAUGGAUUAAAUUAUAAGAAAUUUUUAAAAUCCAAAAUGAAUAUUUGUGAACAGUGUGGAUGUCAUUUGAAAAUGAGUAGUUUCGAUAGAAUCGAACUUUCGAUUGAUCCGGGUACUUGGGAUCCUAUGAAUGAAGACAUGGUCUCUCUGGAUCCCAUUGAAUUUCAUUCGGAAGAGGAACCUUAUAAAGAUCGUAUUGAUUCUUAUCAAAAAAAUACAGGAUUAACUGAGGCUGUUCAAACAGGCACAGGUCAAUUAAAUGGCAUUCCCGUAGCAAUCGGGGUUAUGGAUUUUCAGUUUAUGGGGGGUAGUAUGGGAUCCGUAGUAGGUGAAAAAAUCACACGUUUGGCUGAGUAUGCUACCAAUAAACUUUUACCUCUUAUUCUAGUGUGUGCUUCCGGAGGAGCCCGCAUGCAAGAAGGAAGUUUGAGCUUAAUGCAAAUGGCUAAAAUAUCUUCCGUUUUAUAUGAUUAUCAAUCAAAUAAAAAUUAUUUUAUGUCGCUAGUUCUUACAUCCCCUACACGGGUGGGUGACGGCUAGUUUUGGUAUGUUGGGAGAUAUCAUUAUUGCUGAACCCAACGCUUACAUUGCAUUUGCUAGGUAAAAGAGUAAUUGAACAAACAUUGAAUAAGACAGUACCCGAGGAUUCACAAGUGGCUGAAUAUUUAUUCCAUAAGGGCUUAUUCGAUCCAAUCGUACCACGUAAUCCUUUAAAGGACGUUCUGAGUGAAUUAUUUCGACUACAUGCUUUCUUUCCUUUUGGAUCAAACUUAGAUUAAAUAGAGCUGUAGAGUAUAGUCUUAAUUUUAAAUUUAUUUUUAAAUUUAAAUUAAUAAAAUAAAACAGAAUAAAUUUUUUGAAAUGAAAAUUAUUAAAUUAUAAGACAAGUUAUAAGACAAGAGCACGACAAUAACUAAUAAUAUGAAUAAUAAAAAGGUGGAUUAUCAUACAUAUAUAUUUCGUGUAGAAACGUGUAGAAAGGUGAAUAAGUCCGUUUA